AUUUUGUCCUUAGGAAAGUCAGAGAAGAAC
rnacentral:piRNA from 1 species